UUAUUAGCAGUUUUUAAUAGCUUUCCUGUUUUAUAAAAACGGUCAAAACUAUUUUUUAAAUGAUAUUGAUAGCUUAUAGAGGAGAAUUUUGCAUGAUAUUCUGCUCAUCAGAAUUCUUUUUUUUUUUGGACCAUAUUAGUAAAAUAUCUAUCCAGUGUCCCUAAAAGAAACAUGAGAAAACAUUUUUUAAAAAAUUCAGUCUCCUUCAGUAUUCUGAUAUCUUCAGAAUCAUAAAUGGCAACAAUGUAUUUGAUAAGAGGUAAAACUGAAAUACUACGCUUGGUAAAACUGACCUUCUGCAAAUGUAAUCUGAAUGCUACCAAAACAUAAUCUU
rnacentral:lncRNA from 1 species